UGUUCGGCAUGGCGGGGCGCAUAGAGAGCCUGGAGAGGCGCCUAGAAGUGGUGGAGACGCUGGCGCCUUCCUGCAGCCCUGAGAAGAAUGCUGCCUGGAGCCAGCAGCUCUUCCUGCCAGGUAGGCAAUUGCCAGGGGGCACCUCCGUGGUCCUGCUGUUUGUUUGCCUUCUCCUCCCCAGGAGGCUGCUGAUCCUGUGUUCCUGUGCUCUCAAGGCCACUCUGAGUCCCCUCGGCUGUGGCUGCUGUCAGCCACCCCACUGGCCUGGUGACCUCCCCAGCACAGAAGGGGUCAGGGCCCAGCACGGUGGCUCUCGGGGUGUCUGGGAUGCUCUGUGCUCAGGGCUGCCAAGGCAACUAACUGAGGUUUUUGUAAUCCCUAUCCUGCCUGUCUCUGACUGGGGAAGACCCCAGCCCCAGGAAGAACAGGGGUGCUGGCUUCGCUUUGCCGUCCAAGAGGAAGAUCCCGGGAGAGUCUCUCAUUAACCCUGGCUUCAAAAGCAAGAAGGCACCGUCUGGAGUGGAUUUCGAGGACUCCUGACCUGUGCUGCCCCGUCCCCCAGUGACAACGGUGUGUGUGGCUGGUGGAGGAGAUUUCACUGCACCCUGGGCCGGCCGAGCUCCCUGCGCCCAGGGAGGCGGAUGGGGCAAGCAGGACCCAGCGGGCUGGAGCCAGUGCCUGGCAGGCCUGAGCCGGCAGCAGAGCCUCAGCUGCUGCAGUAGUAGGGCCUCUGCGGGAAUCAGAUGGGGCAGGGGAGACAGAAGUGGUGGCUUUUUCCCUGCAGCUCUUCCCUGCUGGCAGGGGCCACCUCUACCUCACUUGCCAUGAAUUGGUGGGGUUUUUAAAGAGCUUUUAUAUCCCCAUGUAAUGAAAAGAUUGCGUGUGCUUAACUUAUUGCCAGUAAAGGUGGUUUUA